rnacentral:rRNA from 1 species
AACAUUAUUUUAACUGCAGUCUCGCCCCCCUGUGAAAAUGCCCUUCUUUACCUAUUAGUAAAUAAGGAGCGGAUAUCAGGCACAAUUUAUGCCCAUAACAUCUUGCCAAGCCACACCUCUACAGGAAUUCAGCAGUGAUAAACAUUGAAAAAUAAGCGUCAAUAAGCUCGAAUCAGUAAUAAUUUUAAGAGUUGGUAAAUUUCGUGCCAGCCACCGCGGUUAUACGAGAAACUCAAAUUAAUAAAAACGGCCUAAAGCGUGAUUAAAUUAUAUUAAAAUAAAUAGAAAUAAAAAUUAACUCGACUGUUAUACGUAUAUGUUAAACGGUAAACCAAAAACGAAAGAUAUUCUAACAAAUAAACUACUUGAACCCCCGAAAGCUAAGAAACAAACUAGGAUUAGAUACCCUACUAUGCUCAGCCUUAAACUUUGGAACAACCCGCCGAGAUACCCUACUAUGCUCAGCCUUAAACUUUGGAACAAGAUACCCUACUAUGCUCAGCCUUAAACUUUGGAACAACCCGCCUGAGUACUACGAGCCACAGCUUAAAACUCAAAGGACUUGGCGGUGCUCUACACCCCCUACCUUUUUUAAACUAGAAAAUUCGAAAAAUUUUAUGAAAAACUAUUUAAAGGUGGAUUUAGCCGUAAAAAGAAAAUAGAGUGUUCUUUUUAAAUAGGCCAUAGAGGGGGCACACACCGCCCGUCACCCUCCUCAGAAAAACAAC